CCUACGGGGUGCAGCAGUCGAGAGGCUUCGGUAAUGGGGGCAACCCUGACCGAGCGACGCCGCGUGGAGGAUGAAGGCCCUUGGGUCGUAAACUCCUUUCGUGGGGAAAGAAUGUGUUCGAGGUGAACAAUCUCGAGCAUUGACGGUACCCCAAGAAGAAGCUCCGGCUAACUCCGUGCCAGCAGCCGCGGUAAUACGGGGGGAGCAAGCGUUGUUCGGAAUCACUGGGCGUAAAGGGAGUCUAGGCGGUUUGGUAAGUGGGAUGUGAAAUGCCCCGGCUCACCCGGGGACCUGCAUCCCAAACUGCUGAGCUUGAGUACAGGAGAGGGUGGGGGAAUUCCAGGUGUAGCGGUGAAAUGCGUAGAUAUCUGGAGGAACACCGGUGGCGUAGGCGCCCACCUGGCCUGCUACUGACGCUGAAGCUCGAAAGCUAGGGGAGCAAACGGGAUUAGAUACCCCAGUAGUC
rnacentral:rRNA from 1 species